UGUAACAGCUCAGACUGUGCUUGUAACAUGCGCUUAACAGAACAUCUGGGUGAGCACAGCUGUUUCCCGCCCAAUUUAAUUCGGACUUCAAAAUGGGAAAGCAUAAAUCAUCUCUUCAAGAUGAAAUCCUGGUGGGUUUUAUGAAAGACAACCCGGACUUGGCAAAAGGAUUUGUGAAGGGCGACCGAGUUGUUGUCGAUGCCAAGUGGGCAGAGCUUUGCGGCGCUCUCAAUGCUGUUGGGCCGCCAAUCAAGGACGCAUUGGGUUGGAAAAAGGUUUGGGCAGAUUGGAAAACAAACAUCCGCAAGAAGAUGGCGAAAAACAAAUCAGAAACUCGAGCUACAGGUGGAGGGCCCUUCGCUCAGCAAUCGCUUGGGGAAUUGGAGGAGAUAGCUAUGUGGCCUCUACGAAAUGGUGGAAGGAGUAGGUGGGCCAGCGUAUGGACUUCCCCCCCGUACGACCAAGGAGGCCGACACUGGGGUUAAGUGCGUGAUGGAAGACCCCAUUGAGGAGGAACCCUCAGAGAAGGACGAACCCUCAGAGAAGGAGGAGCCCAUGCCGAAGCGCCGUCGAACUAGACCAGCGCAGACCAUGGACCUCAACGAUCUCUGCGCUGCUCAGCUGGAUGAAAUGUCGGCAAUUUCCAAGAAAAUUUCGGAACAUUUCGAACGAAUGGAAUCGUUAGGGGAGGAGAAGCUCGAGGUCCAAAAGGCGCUUGUAGACAAAUUUAGCCAAAUUUUGGACAAAUUUGCGAAAUAAUUAGUUUCCUAUUAGUUUUUUUGUGAAACUUAGCUUUAUUAGUUAUAAAGAAUAUCGAAUGACAUAAAGAAGAAAACAUGAAAAA